AUUGAACGCUGGCGGCAUGCCUAACACAUGCAAGUCGAACGAGAUCUUCGGGUCUAGUGGCGCACGGGUGCGUAACGCGUGGGAAUCUGCCCUUGGGUUCGAAAUAACUUCGGGAAACUGAAGCUAAUACCGGAUGAUGACGUAAGUCCAAAGAUUUAUCGCCCAAGGAUGAGCCCGCGUAGGAUUAGCUAGUUGGUGAGGUAAAGGCUCACCAAGGCGACGAUCCAUAGCUGGUCUGAGAGGAUGAUCAGCCACACUGGGACUGAGACACGGCCCAGACUCCUACGGGAGGCAGCAGUGGGGAAUAUUGGACAAUGGGCGAAAGCCUGAUCCAGCAAUGCCGCGUGAGUGAUGAAGGCCUUAGGGUUGUAAAGCUCUUUACCCGGGAUGAUAAUGACAGUACCGGGAGAAUAAGCUCCGGCUAACUCCGUGCCAGCAGCCGCGGUAAAGUGACUACUG
rnacentral:rRNA from 1 species